rfam:Aedes aegypti strain Liverpool supercont1.265 genomic scaffold, whole genome shotgun sequence.
UGCCCAGCAACUUUAUUCCCUACCUCUUCGUGGUACUGACCGGGGUACGAGUAAUUUUGGGGAAGAUCGGGUAAUCAACCCCCGGAGGGAACUUUGGUCGUAUGUUGACAGGGAAGG